rnacentral:rRNA from 1 species
UGGGGAAUUUUGGACAAUGGGCGAAAGCCUGAUCCAGCAAUGCCGCGUGUGUGAAGAAGGCCUUCGGGUUGUAAAGCACUUUUGUCCGGAAAGAAAUGGCUCUGGUUAAUACCUGGGGUCGAUGACGGUACCGGAAGAAUAAGGACCGGCUAACUACGUGCCAGCAGCCGCGGUAAUACGUAGGGUCCAAGCGUUAAUCGGAAUUACUGGGCGUAAAGCGUGCGCAGGCGGUUGUGCAAGACCGAUGUGAAAUCCCCGAGNUUAACUUGGGAAUUGCAUUGGUGACUGCACGGCUAGAGUGUGUCAGAGGGGGGUAGAAUUCCACGUGUAGCAGUGAAAUGCGUAGAGAUGUGGAGGAAUACCGAUGGCGAAGGCAGCCCCCUGGGAUAACACUGACGCUCAUGCACGAAAGCGUGGGGAGCAAACAGGAUUAGAUACCCUGGUAGUCCACGCCCUAAACGAUGUCAACUAGUUGUUGGGGAUUCAUUUCCUUAGUAACGUAGCUAACGCGUGAAGUUGGACCGCCUGGGGAGUACGGUCGCAAGAUUAAAAGCUC